UCCAGAGUCUUGAAAGGUCGCUUGAUAGGGUACCUUCAAGAGUGAGAUAUGUAAAUUCAGUAACCCUCCUAUGACGUAAAUGGUACGCUACUAACGAAUAAUAAAGUCAAAGGGCGUAGUUAUAGGGUAUGCCGGAUGAAUAAUCCAAUCUUCAUGUUGGCUUUCUAUUAGCAUUCCAACAUGAAUUUAUUGAGUGGUUACGAUUCCU
rnacentral:ncRNA from 1 species